rnacentral:lncRNA from 1 species
AGUCACAAGUCUCAUCAUGCCUGGCUCCUCCAGCUCUUUGAUUAGUCUUCCUUUAAAAGAUUUUCCUCAUGCCAAACAUGGAAUACCUAUCAUGUUGUUGUUCAGACUAAUCUUCUUCUUCACUCCACUUAUCAUCUCUUCUUCAGUUAUCUUCAAUUGUUUUCCUUUUGCAGCUGACCUAGUUCUCUUGGAAAGAGAAGGUUCAGCAGAUACUGACUUGGAGGGCUUCUUGGCAGAAGUCCUGGUUCCUUUUUAUUUGGUAGUGGGAACAUCCAUAGUAGUACCCCUUUCUUGAUGGACCAGUUCCAUCUCUUCUUCCUCCUCUUCAACCACUGCCUCAGAACUUUCACCUAUUUUUGUUUUCCCUUUCUCUUUCCUCUUUUUCUUACUCUCUUCUAAAGCUUUCUUCAACUGUGUUCCACUCUCCCUAAUCCUACUUCUAGUUGCUCUAACCCUAGAAGCAGACUUGGGUGAUGAAGGUUUUCUUUUCUUGGUUGGUUCGGACGCACUAGGGGUCUUUUGUGAGGAAGCCUUGCAUUUCUUUGGGUCAUAACCGGACUCCACCUUCUUUAGUUAAUUAGCCAAUCUCUCCUUCCCAGAUGAACAUGGUUCAUCUUAUUAUUUUCUCAGAUUAACCAAACCCUCAGCGGCUUACUCCUGAUCCACUUCCCCCUAACUUCGAUACUCCCUCUUCCCC